rnacentral:rRNA from 1 species
UUUGUUUUUACUUUGUUCAGUUUUGAGAGGUUUACUCUCAAAUACUUUUGUUCAUUGAAAACUGGAUAUUUGAAGUAAAUGUAAGUAAUACAAACCGAGAACACCGCGUUGAAUUUGAAAGCUGAACAAAUUGUUUAGCCUGAAGCAAAAUAGGCGGACGGCCAUAAAAUCUUUGAUUUUAUGAGACGAUCGAUCUUUUUGCCGUACAGGCUGAUUUGUGAGCUGGAUAGAGUUUUUUAAUAAGUUCAAUUGCUUAUUUUCUUGAUCUAACUUCUAUCGCUAGAAGAAGGAUCAAAACCCAACCGUAAGGUUGAUAAGGUUAAGUGAAUAAGGGCGCACGGUGGAUGCCUUGGCACUAGGAGCCGAUGAAGGACGGGACUAANUUAAUUCGAAGCAACGCGAAGAACCUUACCAGGUCUUGACAUCCUUUGACCACUCUAGAGAUAGAGCUUCCCCUUCGGGGGCAAAGUGACAGGUGGUGCAUGGUUGUCGUCAGCUCGUGUCGUGAGAUGUUGGGUUAAGUCCCGCAACGAGCGCAACCCUUAUUGUUAGUUGCCAUCAUUCAGUUGGGCACUCUAGCAAGACUGCCGGUGACAAACCGGAGGAAGGUGGGGAUGACGUCAAAUCAUCAUGCCCCUUAUGACCUGGGCUACACACGUGCUACAAUGGGAAGUACAACGAGUUGCGAAGUCGCGAGGCUAAGCUAAUCUCUUAAAGCUUCUCUCAGUUCGGAUUGCAGGCUGCAACUCGCCUGCAUGAAGCCGGAAUCGCUAGUAAUCGCGGAUCAGCACGCCGCGGUGAAUACGUUCCCGGGCCUUGUACACACCGCCCGUCACACCACGAGAGUUUGUAACACCCGAAGUCGGUGAGGUAACCUUUUUGGAGCCAGCCGCCUAAGGUGGGAUAGAUGAUUGGGGUGAAGUCGUAACAAGGUAGCCGUAUCGGAAGGUGCGGCUG